AAAUUGUUGCAGUUAAAAGCUCGUAGUUGAAUUUCUGCCACAUUGCCUAUUGCUCCUUUACGAGUUUGGGUCUUUUGUGGCUUAUCUGGGUUCGCUUGCGUUCCCGGUGUUUUACUUUGAGAAAAUUAGAGUGCUCAAAGCAGGCUUUUGCCUUGAAUAGUUUAGCAUGGAAUAAUAAAGUAGGACUUUGGUUCUAUUUUGUUGGUUUUAGGUACCAAAGUAAUGGUUAAUAGGAACAGUUGGGGGCAUUCGUAUUUAACUGUCAGAGGUGAAAUUCUUAGAUUUGUUAAAGACAAACUAC
rnacentral:rRNA from 1 species